GGGGGCUAGCGUUGCUCGGAAUUACUGGGCGUAAAGGGCGCGUAGGCGGAUCGUUAAGUCAGAGGUGAAAUCCCAGGGCUCAACCCUGGAACUGCCUUUGAUACUGGCGAUCUUGAGUAUGAGAGAGGUAUGUGGAACUCCGAGUGUAGAGGUGAAAUUCGUAGAUAUUCGGAAGAACACCAGUGGCGAAGGCGACAUACUGGCUCAUUACUGACGCUGAGGCGCGAAAGCGUGGGGAGCAAACAGGA
rnacentral:rRNA from 1 species